rnacentral:rRNA from 1 species
GAGGAGCCCGCGGCUGAUUAGCUAGUUGGUGAGGUAAUGGCUCACCAAGGCAACGAUCAGUAUCCGGUCUGAGAGGACGGUCGGACACACUGGAACUGAGACACGGUCCAGACUCCUACGGGAGGCAGCAGUGGGGAAUUUUUGGCAAUGGGGGAAACCCUGACCAAGCAACGCCGCGUGGGUGAUGAAGUCCCUUGGGACGUAAAACCCUUUCGACGGGGAAGAAACCGCAAGGUUGACGGUACCCGUAGAAGAAGCCCCGGCUAACUCCGUGCCAGCAGCCGCGGUAAUACGGGGGGGGCAAGCGUUGUUCGGAAUUACUGGGCGUAAAGGGUGCGUAGGCGGUUCAUUAAGUCGGAUGUGAAAACUCUGGGCUCAACCCAGAGCCUGCAUCCGAAACUGGCGGGCUAGAGUUCUGGAGGGGGUAGCGGAAUUCCUGGUGUAGCGGUGAAAUGCGUAGAUAUCAGGAGG